rnacentral:rRNA from 1 species
AUGAACGCUGGCGGCGUGCCUAAUACAUGCAAGUCGAGCGAACAGACGAGGAGCUUGCUCCUCUGACGUUAGCGGCGGACGGGUGAGUAACACGUGGAUAACCUACCUAUAAGACUGGGAUAACUUCGGGAAACCGGAGCUAAUACCGGAUAAUAUACUGAACCGCAUGGUUCAAUAGUGAAAGACGGUUUUGCUGUCACUUAUAGAUGGAUCCGCGCCGCAUUAGCUAGUUGGUAAGGUAACGGCUUACCAAGGCAACGAUGCGUAGCCG